rnacentral:rRNA from 1 species
CUGGAGAACUGAGGGGGGCUGCUCCUAGUACGAGAGGACCGGAGUGGACGCAUCACUGGUGUUCGGGUUGUCAUGCCAAUGGCACUGCCCGGUAGCUAAAUGCGGAAGAGAUAAGUGCUGAAAGCAUCUAAGCACGAAACUUGCCCCGAGAUGAGUUCUCCCUGAGACUUAAAGUCUCCUGAAGGAACGUUGAAGACGACGACGUUGAUAGGCCGGGUGUGUAAGCGCAGUGAUGCGUUGAGCUAACCGGUACUAAUGAACCGUGAGGCUUAACCUU